CCUACGGGAGGCAGCAGUGAGGAAUAUUGGACAAUGGGCGCAAGCCUGAUCCAGCCAUGCCGCGUGCAGGAAGACGGUCCUAUGGAUUGUAAACUGCUUUUGUACAGGAAGAAACACUCCCUCGUGAGGGAGCUUGACGGUACUGUAAGAAUAAGGAUCGGCUAACUCCGUGCCAGCAGCCGCGGUAAUACGGAGGAUCCAAGCGUUAUCCGGAAUCAUUGGGUUUAAAGGGUCCGUAGGCGGUUUAAUAAGUCAGUGGUGAAAUCUGGUCGCUCAACGAUCAAACGGCCAUUUGAUACUGUUAGACUUGAAUUAUUAGGAAGUAACUAGAAUAUGUAGUGUAG
rnacentral:rRNA from 1 species